CCCCAUGGUCAGGAUGAAGCGCGGGUAAUACCGCGUGGAGGUCCGAACAGGUGAACAUUGAAAAGUCCUCUGAUGAACUGUGGGUAGGAGCGAAAGACUAAUCAAACCCGGUGAUAGCUGGUUCUCCCCGAAAUAGCUUGAGGGCUAGCCUCGGAUGCUAACUUAUGGAGGUAGAGCACUGGAUGAACUAGAGCCCACACCAGGGUAUCGAAUUCAAUCAAACUCCGAAUGCCAUAGGGUGAAGUCCGGGAGUCAGUGCGCGAGGGAUAAGCUUCGUGCGCGAGAGGCAAACAUGCCAGACCAGCAGCUAAGGUGCCCAAAUACCGUUCAGUGGAAAGGAUGUGGAGAUACUUAGACAAUGAGGAUGUUGGCUUAGAGGCAGCCAUCAUUUAAACAGUGCGUAAUAGCUGACUCAUCGAGUGUUUCUGCGCCGAAAAUGAUUGGCGAUAAGCGGUAUACCGAAGCUCUGGAUGUCAUUCGAUUUCGAUCGAGUGGCGUGGUAGGGGAGCGUCGUAGGAGCGUUGAAGCAGGAGCGUAAGCAACUGUGGAGUCCCUACGAGUGAGAAUGCAGACAUGAGUAGCGAUAAGCCAGGUUAGACUCCUGGCCGCCGUAAACCCAAGGUUUCCUGUGCAAGGUUCGUCCUCACAGGGUUAGUCGGGACCUAAGGCGAGGCCGAAGGGCGUAGUCGAUGGACAGCUGGUUUAAUAUUCCAGCACCGGCUGUGGUUAAGGGCGAGAGUGACGUGGGCGCGGAGAAGAGCAGUCGAUUGAAAGUGACUGUUGCGCAAGCAGACGUUAAGGCUACGGCCAAGACGGAUUCUUUAAAGCGAACACCAAGAAAACCUCUCGUUUGUUCCCACGGUCGCCCGUACCGUAAACCGACACAGGUGGGUGGGUAGAGUAUACCCAGGCGCGUGAGUGAAACCUCGUUAAGGAACUCGGCAAUCUAGCCCCGUAACUUCGGAAGAAGGGGUGCCAGUCGCAAGACUGGCCGCAGUGAAAGGGGUCAACCGACUGUUUAACAAAAACACAGCACUCUGCCAAGUCGCAAGACUACGUAUAGGGUGUGACACGUGACCAAUGCGGAAAGAUUACGGUAAGUGGUUAGCGCAAGCGAAGCUACGAGCCCAAGUCCCCGUGAAUGUCGGCCGUAACUAUAACGGUCCUAAGGUAGCGAAAUUCCUUGUCGGGUAAGUUCCGACCUGCACGAAUCGUGUAACGAGUUGACCGCUGUCUCAACGAGGAGCUCAGCGAAGUUGUAGUGGCGGUGAAGAUGCCGCCUACCCGCAGCAGGACGGAAAGACCCUAUGCACCUUUACUGUACGCUGUUACUGUUUUUUCGGUUUUAAUGCUUAGCGUAAGUGGUAGACUUUGAUUUCGCUUUUUCGGGGGCGAAUGAGUCGUCAAUGAAACACCACCCUUUGAAACUGGAAAAUCUAACCUCUCGCCAUGAUCUGGCAGAGGGACACUGGCAGCCGGUCAGUUUUACUGGGGCGGUAUCCUCCCAAAGAGUAACGGAGGAGUACGAAGGUUGGCUCAGCCUGGUUGGUAAUCAGGCGACGAGUAUAUGGAUAUAAGCCAC
rnacentral:rRNA from 1 species